UACGGGGGGGGCGAGCGUUGUCCGAAGUUACUGGGCGUAAAGCGCGUGUAGGCGGGUUGUUAAGUCCGCUGUGAAAGCCCGGUGCUCAACGCCGAAGGGUCGGUGGAUACUGGCAGUCUUGAAGUGGCUAGGGGGAAAUGGAAUUACCGGUGUAGCGGUGAAAUGCGUAGAUAUCGGUAGGAACACCAGUGGCGAAGGCGGUUUCCUGGAGCUAACUUGACGCUGAGACGCGAAAGCUGGGGGAGCAAACGGG
rnacentral:rRNA from 1 species